UAUAUGCGCAAGGCGUACAAGAUCUGUUAUAUGCGUCCCCAUACACAUGCAUCAAACUGCAAGUUGUGAAAUACCAAGGUUUCUCCUCCUCCGCUUCUCCGCUCCGCCAUUCCUUUUUCCUCUCCUCCUCCUCAACCUCAUCUUCAACGGAGGAGGAAGGAAGCGGAGAGGCACCGUUACUCGUAAUACCCUGCAAGUCUUCUGAUGCGCAACCGACUUGCUGGCUAGCUGUACGCAAGCCGCCGUCUUGCAAGCAUCUCGCAUUGUCGUAUUUCUCAUCUAUUAUUAUCCGUAAUACGUGAAGAAACGAAAGACGAGAAAAGAAGAGGGGAAGAGAGCACACCUGAUAAGAGCAACGGAUACGCGUUGCAAGACAGGUACUUGCAACUAUCAACUGCUAGCUUCAGAGCGUACGUAGCUCUCGCUUUCACAGCGAUUCUGCGCAAUGCUGCCGUAUUUAUACUCUACAUACUUCCUCUCAAUAAAAUAUUUACAACGUGGCGUGGAGCGAUGAUACUAUAUACAUUUUAAGGAAAGAGAAAAAGACCGUUUAAAAAAUCUCCAGCAGUGUUAUUCGUACCAAUGACAUUGAACAUAAAUGAAACAACACUUCUACUGUGUGAUAGAAAUUAUUCUGAGCAAAUUCGUAUGCUGCAAGCUCCCAAGAUAUAUCAGCAAUUUGAGAAAAGGUUUUACGAUUAGUCGUUAGAAAUUUUUCAACUCUGGUGCUUUUGAUCAGAUUUUAAUGGUUUUGAACUUUUUUGAUCACUAUGUAGAGGCCUCCAGAGAUUUCCUGAACAAAAUUUUGUAUAGUCACUUCCAGAGUGGAUGAAAAUAUAUUUUUGUACGCACCGUGGAGAAAAUAUUCGUUAUAAAUUACACUUGUGCGUUAUAACUAGGUCAUAAUGCAAAAUUUCUUUAUUGUUUGUCGGACAAUUUAGGUAUUUGAUAAGCUAGAAAAAUGAGCUCAAAAACAUAAGAAUCGAAUGAAAAACGCCCAAGUUUGACCAUUUUCAACGUUAUAAUCGUAAACCAUUUUCUCAAAUUGUCAAUUAUAUUUGUUCAUAUCAAUUGAAUUCGCUUUAAAUCAUUUCUAUCGCAUAUGAGGGAUGUUGUUUUAUUCGUUUUCACAAUCACUGGCAUAAACAAAAAUGCUGGAAAUAUUUAUAACAGUUUUUCCUUUUCUCCAACAUUUAAUUUAGAUGUAAUAUAUUCAUCAGAAAAAUUCUCGUUAAUGCUGAUACGAGCGAGGGAAAUUUCCUUGUUCAUAAAUAUAAAGACAGCGUAUUGUGGCAGGAAUGAGGAAAAAAAUAAACACCUGUAAAAGCGA